rnacentral:lncRNA from 1 species
CCAGUCAGUUCUUCCUUUUUAUUUCUGGCUAGUCAUUCGUUGUCAAGGUAUGUUCAGUUUGUCAUCCAUUCAUUAGUUGAAGGACUUUUGGGUUGUUUGCAGUUUUUGGUGUUUAUAAAUAUAGCUGUUAUAAACAUUCAUAUACUGAUUUUUGUGUGAACACACAUUUAUAUUUCUCUAAGGCAAGUACCUAGGGGUGGAAUGGCUGGAUUGUAUGUGUAGCUUAAGUGUAUGUGUAAGUCUGUAAGAGACUUCCAAACUGGUUUCCAUUGUGGCUGUACUAUUUUGCAUUCCCAGCAACAAGAAACAAGAGUUCCAGUUGCUCUGCAUGCUGGUCAGUACUCAGUUCUAUCAGUAGCUUUUUAUCUCAGCCAUUCUAAUAGACGUGUAAUGCUAUCUCUUCAGGUUUUCAUUUGCCUUUCCCUGAUGGCUAACGGUGUGGAACGUCUUUUCACAUGCUUAUUGACCAUUCACAUUUGCUCUUUAGUAAAGUAUCCAUUAAAGCUCCUGCCCAUUUUUUAAUCAAGCUAUUUUCUGACUGUUGUGGCUUCUUUAUACAUUCUCGAUCCAAGUCCUUGUUGGAUAUGUGACUUGUAAAUACUUUCUCCCAGUCUGUAAUUUGUGUUUCCAUUCUCUUAAAAGUGUCUUUCACAGAUCAAUAGUUUUAAAUUUUGAUGAAGUCCAAUCUUUCAAUGUUUUAAAAAAUUUAUGGAUUGAGCUCUGGGUACUAUGUCUAAGAGCUCUUUGCCUAACCCUGGGUUAUCAAGAUUUUCUCCUAUGUUUUAUCCUAAACGUCUCAUAGCUAUAUGUUUUACAUUUAGCUCUAUGUUCUAUUUUGAGUUAUUGUUUGGAUAAGAUGUGAUGUUUCAGAAAAUGUUCAUUUUAUUUUUUUGGGCUUUGGCUGUCCAAUAUAAUUUGUUUCUACACCAUUUGUUGAAAAACCCAUCCUUCUGCCAUUGAAUUGCUGUUGCACUUUUGUCAAAAAUCAAUUAGUCAUAUUUAUGUGGGUCUGUUUUUGGACUUGAUAUUGUUCUGUGGAUCUCUUUACCAAUACCAUACUAUAUUGAUUACUAUCAUUGUAUAAUACAUCUUAAAGUUGAGUAGUGUGUUUCCUUUGAUUUUAUCCAUUUUCAACACGGUUUUGGGGAGAACUGACAUCUUUACUAUGCUGACUCUCCCAAUUCGUGAACAUAUUAAGUCUCUCCACUUAUCUAUGUCUUUCAUUUCUUUCAUGAGCAUUUUCUAUUUUUCAGAUUCUGUACAGGUUCAUGUACAGAUUCUGUAUGUGUUUUGUUAGAUAUAUUCCUAAAUAUUUCAUUUUGUGGGAAGCUAUUCUAAAUGUUUAUUUUUAAAUUUUGAUUUUAAAUUGCACAUGGCUACUAUGUGGAAAUACAACUGGUGUGUGUAUGUGUGUAAUCCUUAGGAUUUUCUAGUAGACAUUCAUGUUGCCUGUGAAUAGGUACAUUUUUAUUUCUUCCAUCCUAAUAUGUAUCCCUAUUGCGUUAGUCUUCUUGGUCUACUAUACAAAAUACCACAGAAUGGGUGGCUUAAACAACAGAAAUUAAUUUUCUCAUGGUUCUAAGGGCUGGGAAGUUCAAGAUCAAGGACAUAUUGCUGGAUUUGAUUUGAUAAUAUUUUGUUGAGGAUUUUUACAUUGCUAGUCAUGAGGAAUAUGAGUUUGUAGGGUUUUUUUUUGCUUGUAUUGUCUUUGUCUGGUUUAGUUAUCAGGAUAAUAAUGGCCUCAUCAAAAUAUAUUGAGAUGUGUUCCCUCUUCUAUUUUCUGAAAGAGAUCAUGUGGAAUUGGUGUUAUUUCUUUUUUAAAAUGUUUGGUAGAAGCCAUCAGUGAAAUUAUCUGGGAAUGGCAGAACUGUGAGUCAAUUAAACCUCUUUCUUUCAUAAAUUACCUAGUCUCAGGUAGUAUCUUUAUAGCAGAGAACAGACUAAUACAUACGCAUUUAAUGCUAUGAAUUUCCCUCUGAGCCACUACUUCAGUUUUAUGAAAAGAGGGUGAGUGGUAAGAAGUCCAGCCAUUUUCAACAAACCACAUUCCAGGCAAUUUUCUUCACCAAUUAAAAUUUAAAACCUCCUGUUGCAUGCUUGUGUGCUUAGGGGAUGAAGGAGGGCUAAGUUUGUCAGAUGUUCUGUACCAGCUAUUUCUAUUUCUAUGGCACAAUUGCGACCUUGAGUCUUGAAGAAAAAGUUAAAUUUUAUAGACUGUUUGUUACGUCAUGGGAUAAAUACAUAAUACAGUUUUGAAAGAUUUCCAUACCAUAAAGCAUCACCAACUUUACUAACUGCCUUUAUUUUUUCAGAACCCCUCAUUGCUAGGUGAUCAUGUGUUACUGUGUUUCAGUUGGAAAACAUUUCAGACCCAUUAGAGCUCCCAGGGGAACUCAAUGCUUAUGAGAAUUUCUCUGAAACAAAUAAAAACUAUACAUAAAAUUCUAUUUCUACAGUGCUUUUAAGAAGAGCUGGAGCAGCAAUUAGUCGUUAGGGCUCUUCCCUUACAGUCUUCCAAAUGAUUUGCAUUAUGGGGGCCUCCUUGGACUAGGAGAGACUUCUCUGGAGCAUCACACAGAUCCUUGUGAGCUGCGUUCACCCUCAGUACUCCAGGCACUGGAUUCAUUCAUUCUCUGGAGAUUUGGGGAUGCUGAACAACACCUUUCCCCCUCUCCUAAUUGUUUUGGGAUUGGUGAAUUUUUUUUAUCAUGGCAAAAUAUACAUAAUAUAAAAAUUUAUCAUUUUAACCAUUUUAGGUGUACAGUUCCGUGUCAUUAAGUACAUUCACAUUAUUGUGCAACCAUCACCACCA